UGGGGAAUCUUGCACAAUGGGGGCAACCCUGAUGCAGCGACGCCGCGUGAGCGAUGAAGCCCUUCGGGGUGUAAAGCUCUUUCGGCAGGAACGAUGAUGACGGUACCUGAAGAAGAAGCUGCGGCUAACUACGUGCCAGCAGCCGCGGUAAUACGUAGGCAGCGAGCGUUGUUCGGAGUUACUGGGCGUAAAGAGUGCGUAGGCGGUUUCGUAAGUCUGGUGUGAAAUCUCCCGGCUCAACUGGGAGGGUGCGCCGGAAACUGCGGGACUGGAGUGUGGGAGGGGCAAGCGGAAUUCCUGGUGUAGCGGUGAAAUGCGUAGAUAUCAGGAGGAACACCUGCGGUGUAGACGGCUUGCUGGACCACAACUGACGCUGAGGCACGAAAGCGUGGGGAGCAAACAGGAUUAGAUACCCUGGUAGUCCACGCCCUAAACGAUGCAUACUUGGUGUGAGCAGUUCAUUCUGUUCGUGCCGGAGCUAACGCGUUAAGUAUGCCGCCUGGGGAGUACGGUCGCAAGGCUGA
rnacentral:rRNA from 1 species